rnacentral:sRNA from 1 species
UGUUGUUCUUCUUCUUAGGGAUGAUCACUU